AUGUGGGACACAUUGAGGCAGUUGAAAUCCAAGUCAGAUUUGCCAUGGACCGUCAUGGGCAACUUCAACGAAGCGCUAUGGCAAUUUGAGCACUUUUCCUUUACCACUCGAGCUGAAGGGCAAAUGGUGGCCUUCCGUGAUGCCCUUGAUGAUUGCAAACUUGUUGAUCUGGGCUUUAAAGGAGUUCCCUUCACUUAUGAUAAUAAAAGGGGAGGUAGAAAGAAUGUCAAAGUGAGGCUCGAUCGUGUCGUGGCUGAUGCAGGUUGGCGAGAUACUUUCCCUGAUGCCUCGGUCGAACACAUUAUUUCCUCAUGUUCUGACCAUUGUGCACUGCUGGUCCAUCUUCAAGCUGAGAAAUUGCCACAGAAUAAGAGACGAUACCGGCAGUAUGAACUCUUUUGGGAAAGGGCUUCUGAUUUGCCAGAAAUUAUUGAACAGGCCUGGGCUUCAGCUGGUGAUAAGAGUGACCUGGGCGCUAUCCAAGAUUGCCUAGGAGUAGUCGCAAGUUUGGUAACAUACUUCGCGAGCUUGAAUCAGUCCAUUCUGAAUUGA
rnacentral:rRNA from 1 species